rnacentral:rRNA from 1 species
UACGUAGGGUGCGAGCGUUGUCCGGAAUUAUUGGGCGUAAAGGGCUCGUAGGCGGUCUGUUGCGUCAGGAGUGAAAACUCGGGGCUUAACCCCGAGCCUGCUUCUGAUACGGGCAGACUAGAGGUAUGCAGGGGAGAACGGAAUUCCUGGUGUAGCGGUGAAAUGCGCAGAUAUCAGGAAGAACACCCGUGGCGAAGGCGGCUCUCUGGGACGGUACUGACGCUGAGACGCAAAAGCGUGGGGAGCGAACAGG